AUUGAACGCUUUCUUCCUUCUUUACACAUGCAAGUCGAACGGCAGCGCGGGCUUCGGCCUGGCGGCGAGUGGCGAACGGGUGAGUAAUGCAUCGGAACGUGCCCAGUAGUGGGGGAUAGACCGGCGAAAGCCGGAUUAAUACCGCAUACGACCUGAGGGUGAAAGCGGGGGACCGAAAGGCCUCGCGCUAUUGGAGCGGCCGAUGUCGGAUUAGCUAGUUGGUGGGGUAAAGGCUUACCAAGGCGACGAUCCGGAGCUGGUCUGAGAGGACGACCAGCCACACUGGGACUGAGACACGGCCCAGACUCCUACGGGAGGCAGCAGUGGGGAAUUUUGGACAAUGGGGGCAACCCUGAUCCAGCCAUGCCGCGUGCGGGAAGAAGGCCUUCGGGUUGUAAACCGCUUUUGUUCGGGAAGAAAUCCUCUGGGCUAAUACCCCGGGGGGAUGACGGUACCGGAAGAAUAAGCACCGGCUAACUACGU
rnacentral:rRNA from 1 species